AGCUCCCCCUACAGGACUCUGGAGCCGGUGCGCCCCCCCGCGGUGCCCAAUGACUACGUCUGCAGCCCCACCAGGAAUAACCCUGUUGCCGGGCAGAUUCCCAGCCCCCCCCGCACCGCCUCCCUCCACCACCGCCCCCGAACACACAGUGGCAGCAGUGGGGGUAGCAGCAGCAGAGAGAACAGCGGCAGCGGCUGUGUGGGACUCCCCAUCGCCGUGCCAACACCCUCCCCCCCAUCCACCUUCCCAGUGUCUCCCACUGCAGGCCCCCCCAGCUCCUCCUCCACAGCUCCUAACUCCUCCCCCUCUCCUUCCCCGACUCCUUCCUCCUUCUCCUCCUCUUCCUCCACUGCCACUCUAACACACCCCGGCGCUCCCUUACUCCCUCAGUAUCCCCCCCAACACUCCCCUCCUCCUCCUCACCCAAACACCCAAUCAAACGCUCCCUCCUCCAACACUCACCCGUCUGAGGGAGAUCCGCCUCCUCUCCUUCCUCCCUCUCCUCCCUCCUCUUCCUCACCUCCUCCUGAUGAAGGUAACACGGCGCCUCAGUUCUUCAGUAUGAACCGUCCCACCCCCAGGCAACAGAACGCUCAGCUGGGCGGGUCUCUGCCCUACAGACGACCCCCUUCUGUCACCGGACAGCCAAUCACAACGGAAAACCAGAAUGGGGGGCCGUACUACAACCAGAGCCCAGCCUCCCCCCCCCCCCUCUCUGCUCCAGUUCAGUCCUCAGCUUCCUCUCAUGGGCUUCGUGGCUCGAGUUCAGGAGACCAUCUCAGACGUCCCCCCUCCGCCCCACCCGGCUGCUGGGAGCCAAUCAGAGGAGCCGCUGCUGAGCCCUCAGCCAAUGGAGGAGCAUGGUGAGGAAGAGGAGGAUGCGGUGGUGGAGUACAGCGACCCGUACGCAGAGGAAGACCCUCCCUGGGCCCCCCGCACCUACGACGAGAAGGUGGUGGCGAUCUAUGACUACUCUGCGGACAAAGAGGACGAGCUCUCGUUCCAGGAGGGCUGCAUCAUCUACGUGAUCAAGAAGAACGAGGACGGCUGGUACGAGGGCGUGAUGAACGCCAUGACCGGCCUGUUCCCCGGGAACUACGUGGAGUCCAUCAUGCACUACGCCGACUGAAGCCUGCUUCCUGUUUGUCUGCGGUCACGAGAAGGUGUUCAGCCUCUCGGACCAAAAGGGAAAAGAUACUCUGCAUUCAUAACAAAUGAAAUCACAAACAGAGUAUAAAUUAUUUAGUUUUAAUGAUAUUUCAUUUCAUUUUAACAAAAACAUUUUCAGUUUUUGAGACACGUCGGUCUCACAACAGAGUACGCCAACAAUUAGAAAGACUCCUUUGUUUAUAUCACUAUGGAACACUUUAAUGUUUUAGAAUUUAGAUUCAAAUCAAUUCACAAGAAGAGUAAAAAUCGUAGUUUCAAUAAUAUUUUAACACGUUUUUUUUAAGCAGCAGCCUGUUGUGUACGUACUCAACCUGCAGACUCACGCGUUUCACAAAUCAGACGUUUCUAGGUUUAAUUUCUCCCACAAAAUAAAAUAACUUCCACUUUUUAAAGUUAUUCCUGCAUCUCAUUGCUCUUCUUCUAAGUCAGUCUUACUGAUCAAAUAGAUCCACCUGAAGCUGUUUUAACUCUGUGUGUACCUGAACACAACGUCAUGUUAUUGAUUUAAUACGUCCCUCUGAGCUUUGCCUUAUCAGAGAGCCUCCUUACUUUCUCAACAGCCUUAUCUUCAUCACAAAAUGAAGGUAUUUUGAAAAGACUUACAGAUUAAAUGUAUGGUAAAUGUACUGUACUUAUAAUAUAUCUCUUUAUCAGGUCUUCUUAACCCCUCAAAGCUCACACACAACAGAAUAAGGCCCCGGCCACAAGGAGACGAUAACGAACCUUAGUCGAUAUCAAAAAAGUCUUCCGUCCACACGGAAUCGGCUCAAGAAACGUGUCCGUCCACACGAGACCGCUCGACCCGCUGGAGACGCUGUAGUACAUAUACCGGGCCUGUAAGUGGCGCUGUACUUCCGCCACAAAAUACACCAAAAGCAGCGAAGAAGACCCCCGAGCAUGGUUGCCUGGUUGCCUGGUUGCCCUUCUGGUUAUUCUCCGCGGUGGAUUUAGCAACAUGUAGUUCAUGUAGUUCUCCAGGUCCACUUGUUGCUGAUGGUUGUGGUCGAGGAGCUGUAGAUGUUGCACUAACAUCUGUAUCAUGGUCGGUCGCAUCUGGAGCACGAACGCAGCCCUGUGAUCCGCCUUUGUUGUUGUUGUUGUUGUUGGCGAAACGCAUCAGCACUGACGCGGGGUGAGCAGGAGAGAUGGGGAGAGGCGGGGCUAUGGCGUCAUCGAUUCAGAAAAUGAUCGUAAAGGCGUAGACACGGAGCCGCAAGCGUUUCGUUACCAGACCUUCCCACUUUGGGAUGCGUUAUCGUUUCAGGGCUCCGUUUCCGCGGCUCCGUUUCCGCGGCUCCGUUUCCGCGGCUCCGCUUCGGCCUCGUGUGGA